GUGGGGAAUUUUGGACAAUGGGCGCAAGCCUGAUCCAGCAAUGCCGCGUGUGUGAAGAAGGCCUUCGGGUUGUAAAGCACUUUUGGCAGGAAAGAAAUAGUGCGUGCUAAUACCAUGCGCGAAUGACGGUACCUGCAGAAUAAGCACCGGCUAACUACGCGCCAGCAGCCGCGGUAAGACGUAGGGUGCAAGCGUUAAUCGGAAUUACUGGGCGUAAAGCGUGCGCAGGCGGUUUUGUAAGACAGGUGUGAAAUCCCCGGGCUCAACCUGGGAACUGCACUUGUGACUGCAAGGCUAGAGUGUGUCAGAGGGAGGUGGAAUUCCGCGUGUAGCAGUGAAAUGCGUAGAGAUGCGGAGGAACACCGAUGGCGAAGGCAGCCUCCUGGGAUAACACUGACGCUCAGGCACGAAAGCGUGGGGAGCAAACAGGAUUAGAUACCCUGGUAGUCC
rnacentral:rRNA from 1 species